GGCUGGUCCGAGUGCAGUGGUGUUUACAACUAAUUGAUCACAACCAGUUACAGAUUUCUUUGUUCCUUCCCCACUCCACUGCUUCACUUGAUUAGCCUUUA
rnacentral:Y_RNA from 1 species